CACGUACUGCUCUUUCAGCUCUAUCUUUUGUUUUCUUAGCUCCCGUUCUCUGUCCUGAAUUGCCUUAUCUUCCGCCAGGCGUCGUUCCUCUUCCUUGAACUUUUCCUCCGCCAACUUGUUCUCCUCUUCCAAUCGCUUCAACGCUAAUUGAUUUCGAGCACGAGCUGAUGAUGGUGUAGAUCGCACCGAACUCGUAAGCUGGCUAGCGGAUUUCAGAACAGACGGAUUUUUCAAAGGGGUUUGCGGAUUUGGUGGGAUUUUCUUGACAACGACAAGUGGAUGACCGGGUCGGGUCAAUUUGCGACUUGUAUUGCUCUUUACAUCCGGAUCGAUCUUAGGUUUCGGUUUGGCGGACUUUUUUUCACCCUUUUUAUUCGCUGGGAUGGUAGGGCAAUUUGAGCAGUACCAUGGGCGGUUCGAUACCCCCGGACACACUCCGGCGCACAUAAGGUGGUACCAGACAAGGCAUUCGUCGCACUGUACCAUACCCGUGUCGGCUGAGUUUGGCUCGGUACACUCACCGCAAUCAUGCCCGUCCGCUUCAUCAAUUGAUCCUUCGGUCAUAUUUCUACUUGUCGCCAUUCCGAAUAGUUGCGGUACCGACCAUAACCUUUGAGAGUGUUGAAAUGAAAGAAGCCCUUUGCAGCAACCGUUUAUGUUUGAGAAGCUCAAAGCUAUAAUAGUUUUAUUACUGUGAUUAUAAGAAUUAAAAUACAUAUUAUUGUCGACUUACGUUAGUCUUCUGAGCAAUUCACACUUCAGUUAAUUCAGUUUCAGUUAAUAAUCUCCCUAUAUAAUGGCUUAUAACCUGGGGGGCAAUGAAAAUGGUAUAUAUUUUCUGCUACCUAAUUCAAUUCGGUAGCUUAUUUUACCUGUAUCUGCAGCGUACUAAACACUACCUAAUUCAACGCAAUACACAGCAAUGAAGGCUGUAAAAUAAUAUUCUAUUCCGGAAAAAUUAAAUAGGCAAAUAUUCAGAUGCUAGAGUCCGCACGUGUUCGCCGAUCUUUCUCGAUCUCCAGUCACCUCUUGACAGUCGGUUCGUAUCGCGAAGAGACGUCAGUCGUUUGACAAGCUCGCUAUCGCUAGUCCGAACAUACCCCAUCUGGUACAGUGCUGCCGGAACAAUGUAUGAGUAAAAACAAGAUUUAGAAUUAUUUCAUCUCUUUGUUUCGAAAUGCACAUCUUUUGAUAAACAAAUCCAACGAUCGAUGUACGGUUUGUUUUCAAAAUAUAAUAGGAGUCAUUUAAAGUGCUGCCUGUGGAAGCGGUUGCCAAAAUUCUAGUGUUAAAAUCAUCAUAAAGGGAGUGUUGCCGUUUUGAUUGAUUUUCGCUCUUCGUCUCUUUCUCUAUUCUCUUUGGUUUUCUCUACCUAUCUGUUAUGUAUUUCAUCCUGCCAAGGAAUCCAAAAACAUCAGCUGUCUCCCGUUUCCCGAGAGUUCGCCGACCAGUUUUGCAUUCAAACUGAAGAAACUUAUAACUUCACCAGGCACAAUCAUCAGAAUGAGAUGCAGGAAAAUAUUUUCAUUUUACCGUUCAGUAUGAGAAACAUUUUACAAAUGAUAAUUGUGUAUGCCCAAAAGAUAUUUGUGCGGAUCUGCGAAUCCGGUUUUUGUGGAAUAAUUCAACCAAAGGUUAUAAUGUAGCAGCGGUGAAGAUUAAUUACAAUCAUACGGCUUCAUCCCACCCCGGCAGCAGAUGAGCGCUGGCGAAUGUUCUCAGCCACCUGGAGGAGGAGGUUCAGCGCGGAAGAAAUGUUACCAGACAUCGCCGAUCUGGUGUCUGGACUUUUUUGACAAUUUCAUAGAGAUUGGGUGUGCAGAUUGGCGGUUGGAGUUCUGGGAGGGAACGACUGGUAACUUUAAGGGUAUAUACGAAGCCGAAAACACCCACAACAAUGAAGUAACUAACAUAAAGCUCGCCGGUGACAAAGUGAUAUUCGCACGGUUGAGUGGACGAAUCGAUUCUCUGAGACUGGAAACGUACACGCAAGGUUGUCAGAUCGAUUGGGGAUUUACGUCUGCAUAUGGGUGAACCCACGUACGCACCGGUUCGGCAGGAAGCAUUAGUUUAUUUCAGCAAUCCGUCCACGACGUUGCCAGCUCAACAUAACGCAUCCGAGGAGGAGCUUCGAUGUAUUCUGGAGUUUCACCAGCAGGGUUACCGGUGACAUGUUUGGAUGUGGCGGGCGGUACAGUCAUGACUUGCAGCCAGGGCCACACUGUUAAAGUGUUCCGACUCGAUAGCCACCUAUUGCAGUUCACCCUAAAAGGCCAUUGCGGUUCUAUCACAUGUAUUUUCAUAGACCAGUGGCAGGCCGAGAUGGGCGCAUCUGGUCGCCAGGAUGGUGUGCUAUGUGUGUGGGGCUUGAACUAGAACAGCUCCUACAAGACAAUGGUUACGAGAGUGUUCAGCAGGCCGUUGGUAAGGGAGUGGAUAAUUUUUAUAGUGUCGAUUGUUGAUAACAGGGCCAUUUAAUGGCGCCGCAAUUAAAUAUAGAAAGUUACUAAAUACAUUUUGAUAAUAAACAAGACUUCUAUUUACAUUGAUUUCAAUCAGAUAAUUUAUGUUAGAACUUGCUUUUCCUCUUCUAUUUUCCCAUUACCGCCUCCAGUGACCGCGUGGAUGCUUUCGGUCACGGUAGAAUCCUUAAUUUUUCGUUUUCGCCUGCUACCAUUCCUUGACCUUUCGUGCAGCUUCUUGUGUCCCAUCAAAUGACUAUGUUCAACGAAUCUUUUUCCACACUAUUCACAGCCAUGGGGUCGUUCGCCAACAUGCCUGCGAUUAUGCUGGGUCAAAUGUGCUCUUCGAAGA